GACGAACGCUGCCUGCGUGCCUAAUACAUGCAAGUAGUACGCAGUUGCGAACGGGUGAGUAACUCGUAGGUAAAUGCCUCCUCGCGGGGGAUAACUAUUGGAAACGAUAGCUAAUACCGCAUACUGUGAGUUGUACCUCCGUUGUAUUAGCUAGUUGGGGAGGAAAAGGCUCACCAAGGCGACGAGACAUAGCAGACCGGAGAGGGUGAUCGGAAACACUGUGACUGAGACACGGCCGAGAUUCCUGCGGGAGGAAGAAGUGGGGAAUCUACGGCAAUGGACGGAAGUCUGACCGAGCAACGCGGCGGGAGUGAAGAGGGUGUUCGAAUCGGAAAGCUCGGUUGUUAGAGAAGCGGGAACUAACCAGAAAGGGACGAGUAACUACGUGCCAGCAGCCGCGGUAAUAC
rnacentral:rRNA from 1 species